AAAUACAUCAUAACAUUUUAUUGUCAAGCCAUGGCCUUAUAUAGGAUGCUAACAACAUAUCACACAGCUUUGGCCAACACAUAUGUAUAUAUUACACCACCACCAUGACAAAUAGUACUAUAACAUAUAACAAAAAGACCUGCAGCUGCACCUGCAGGUAAUUUGUAACAUUUCCAGAACCAGAUAUAGGGACAAAAGCGUUUAAAUAUCUCCGAAACCAACGAUUGACUAUGGGAUAAAGCUAAAACCUAUAUAGAGUUAUAGACAUAUAUGAAAAUAAACUGACUGCUAAACCUUAUUUAGAAACAUCUAUAAGUUCCUUCUAACCAGCAGCAUGACAUCUCUUACUACUCCCUUGUAAUAACGUCAUGCACGAUCCUCCAACCUCUACAACUACAUGGUAACAGAAAAACCAAACUGAGAACUAUAGGCAAACUGAAAUCCACCUGAUUAAAGGUAUAUUGUGAUAUCCACUGCUUGAUGUUCAUUUGAGUAAUCGCAUUGCUAGUACCAAACCGAGGCAUCUUGCUUCGUCACGUCAUCAUGUGAAAUCCCAGAAAGACAUUCAGAGAGAUCAGUGGAUUGCAUGUUGAAUGGAGAUCCAAACAUGAAAUUGAAAUCAUCAGUAGAGCUUGCAUUGAAUGGUGAAGUUAAAACCUUGCUCUGAUCAAACCGAUCACCCUGCACAAACAUGGAGUUGUUAGCAGAAAUGUUGGUGUCCCCAAAGAUGCUUCCCUCCAACACAUUCCCUUGGCUUUGAAGGUAAUUGUUCUGUUGAAUGCUAGGUUGUUGAAGAGGCUGCUCUUUGGACAUCACAGAGUUCCCCGCCAUUGAACUUUUGUUUCCUUGCACAUUACUUUCAUAGAAUGACAUAAGCUCAUUGAUCACCCUCUGCCCAUCUGCAGGAACCCCAAGUCCAGAUGUAUCAAAGGAGGGUGGAGCUGGGUUGACCGGAAGCGAAGCCCGCUUUGGCUCAGCAUACUGUUGAGGGAAGACAACUGGCUUGACCUCCUCCAUGUGAAAGUUUGGAACUACAAAUUGAGAAGUAUUCCUGAAGAGGCAAGUUAGCUGAUGAUUGUCUCUGCUGGAUCUGUCUGGAAAACCAUUGCGAAGCUCACUAUGAGGGCAAUGAAGACACUCGCAAGUAUAUGUCUUCGGAUCCAUCAGGAAAGUCAAGUCAUCAGCCGGCUUCCUCUUGCGAGUGAAAUCUAAGUUGGCAAAAAUGUCACCCUUCAUUGGCUGAGACUGCUGUAGCAGAGGCAGCUUCUCCUUGAACAUCUCAACAUUGACAUUCAGCAAACUGAGAUGGUUUGGUUUUUGCUCUUGAACAUCAAAGAUAGGGUCAUCAAUAGCACCUUCAACAUCAUACUCACU
rnacentral:misc_RNA from 1 species